rnacentral:rRNA from 1 species
UACGUAGGGUGCAAGCGUUAAUCGGAAUUACUGGGCGUAAAGCGUGCGCAGGCGGUUUUGUAAGACCGAUGUGAAAUCCCCGGGCUUAACCUGGGAACUGCAUUGGUGACUGCAAGGCUAGAGUGUGUCAGAGGGAGGUGGAAUUCCGCGUGUAGCAGUGAAAUGCGUAGAGAUGCGGAGGAACACCGAUGGCGAAGGCAGCCUCCUGGGAUAACACUGACGCUCAUGCACGAAAGCGUGGGGAGCGAUCCGG